ensembl:lncRNA
UCCUGUUCCUGCUGUCAGCGAGGUCCUCUUUCUGCUGUCAGCGAGGUCCACUUCCUGCUGUCAGCAAGUUCCUCUUCCUGCUGUCAGUGAGGUCCUCUUCCUGCUGUCAGUGAGGUCCUCUUCCUGCUGUCAGCGAGGUCCUCUUCCUGCUGUCAGUGAGGUCCUCUUCCUGCUGUCAGUGAGGUCCUCUUCCUGCUCAGCAAGGUCCUCUUCCUGCUGUCAGUGAGGUCCUCUUCCUGCUCAGCAAGGUCCUCUUCCUGCUGUCAGUGAGGUCCACUUCCUGCUGUCAGCGAGCUCCACUUCCUUCUGUCAGCGAGGUCCUCUUCCUUC